rfam:Stegodyphus mimosarum contig26040, whole genome shotgun sequence.
GCCUUCUAGGUGUAGUGGUCAGCACGCUCGGCGCGUAUUCGGGAGGUCAGUGGUUCGAAUCCCGGUGAGGGCA